AUGUUCCCUAUGGUAACUAGGUUCAUGAGUUAUGGUCAACAAACAAUACGUGCUACAAGGUACAUAGGUCAUAGUUUCAUAACUACCUUAUCCCACACAAAUCUUUUACCUAUAACGAUUCACUACCCUUAUGAAAAAUCAAUUACACCAGAGCGUUUCCGAGGGCGAAUCCACUUUGAAUUUGAUAAAAGUAUUGCUUGUGAAGUAUGUGUUCACGUAUGUCUGAUAGAUUUACCCGUUGUGGAUUGGAGAUUUGAAAAGGAUAUUAAAAGAAAACAAUUGCUUAAUUAUAAAUAUGAACUUUCUACCUAUGAUCGUCAUGAAUUGAAUUACAAUCAAAUUGCUUUAAGUCGGUUACCAAUCUCCAUAAUGGGAUAG
rnacentral:rRNA from 1 species